rnacentral:rRNA from 1 species
UCCGUAGGGGGCAAGCGUUGUCCGGAAUCAUUGGGCGUAAAGAGCGUGUAGGCGGCUCGAUAAGUCUGCUGUGAAAGUCCAGGGCUCAACCCUGGAAGGCCGGUGGAAACUGUCGGGCUAGAGUCCGGAAGAGGCGAGUGGAAUUCCCGGUGUAGCGGUGAAAUGCGCAGAUAUCGGGAGGAACACCAAUGGCGAAGGCAGCUCGCUGGGACGGUACUGACGCUGAGACGCGAAAGCGUGGGGAGCAAACGGG